rnacentral:tRNA from 1 species
AUGCGAGGUUUCGACUGUUUGAACGCUCGUUUACACCGAAGAUGUCGGCGGUUCGAGUCCGUCAUCGCCCACCA